UUCAUCUCUCUUUCCAUCUUCUUCCUUCUCUCUUUUGUCGUUCUUCUUUCGAUUUUCUUACCCAAAUGAUGCUUGAAGACGAAUCAAGUAUUCUUCUGAAUCUAAUAAAGGUUUUUGAAAGCUUCCUCCUUUUUCCGUUUUAUUUUAAUUAACUAUCAGUUUUUUAAUCUCGAGAAUUACAUUAAUAGACUUGUUUUACUUACUGUUUUUGUUUCGUGGUGGAGUCGGGCGAUGUGUGGAGCAAUCAGGGAGUGUGAUUUGGGUUCUGUGAUUCGACUCUGUUUCUGGAGUCAUGUUUGAUUUGGACGAAGAAGAGUGUUCAUUGUGUUGAUUUCAACAAACGGAUAAAAAAGUGGAGCUGGCCCGGAGUGGAAGAAAGGGGUUGCUGAAUGGUUCAAUGGGGUCCCAUACUGCACGCAUAAUGGAGACUCUCCAUUCAGACUGUAUGCAAGAGGGUCUGCGUAUACAUAAUGGUUAGGAUGAGGGAAUGGCAUCAAUCUGUUGGCUGGAGCUGCAGACCAAGACACUGGAGCUUGAUGAUAGUAACCCAUUGUUGCAGGACCCUGGAAGAGAGGCAACGGUAUACUCUGAAUUUGGGGAAACAUCAUGCUUUGUGGCUGUGACUGGUUUGGAGCCUGUCCAAGGGGAAACUGUUGAGAAACAUCAUCUUUCCUGCAGCCAUCAAUGCACUUGCGUUGGACCCUGGCGGGACUUUUUUCUAUGCUGGUAGUAAAGAUAGCAAAAUUUGUAUCGGUGCCAUGAAUUCCUCAAGUGAUUAUGCGACGCAAGCUCCUGAUUCAGUAUCUGAACAAAGGUUAUUCCAGACCGAGAUCCAAAUUUAUUUUUAAGUGGAGGUACAACUCACAGAUGGACCUUUUUCCGAGUAUUCAAAUAUGGUUUAUAUAUGUGUGGCCACACAAAUGGGUAAUCUGAGUUAGAGAAGUUUUGAACCCAUGUCCCUUAGAGCAGACCCGUGUGGUUAAUUUCUUUAAUUCUUUCCUUCUACUGGUAAUAAUUAGCACAUACAUGUAUAGCUUACAUGUCCAUGCAUGGAUAUGAAUUGAAUUUCCAUAACUGCAUUAUACCAACUACCACUUUAUAAUUUCUAUUUGUUUUUCAACUA